GGCCCGCAAGCUCAAUUGGAUGAGCACCCGAAUCCUAGUCGGGUGGUUGUGGGUUCGAAUCCCACGCGGGCCGCCA
rnacentral:tRNA from 2 species